ACGUGGUCUACCUGGAACAUGGAGCAUCUGAAGCUGCUGCUGCUGCUGCUGUGGAGCUCAGGAGUCCAUCUUGAAGACAGAGACCAUUCAGCUGAGGCUGACGAUGAGUUCCGGUUGGUGGGAGGAAGCUCUGGCUGUUCAGGUGGAGUGGAGCUGAAACACCUCGGAGAAUGGAGACCAGUGGAUGGCUUUUACUGGGACCUGGAGUUAUCAGCUGCUGUGUGUGAACAACUGGACUGUGGCUCUGUUAUUUCAAUGAAACAAAGAGUUGAGUCAUUAGAAAGUGUGUGGAAAGUCCGAUAUCAUUGUUUCAAGUCUCUGUCAGAUUUGAAGAACUGCAUUCUGAAUGAUCGGGCUUCUUCUUUCAUUAA